UGAGAGGCAGACACAACUUCGAUCGGCGAGAUGGGGGCUCGGAUCUUGUCAUCUGCGCCGGAGCGAAGAUGAGUGGGCUGACGGAAAACACUGUCUUAAGCUCUGCUUCCUUUUAUUCUCUCAUUAUACUAAUGAAUGCAGGAGGAUCUUCCGCAUCUUCUCCCGGGAUCCUCUCCAUCCCCCCACCACUGCCUGGGAGGAUUUCUAAAUACAGCGCAUUAAUACUGUGUAGGAGCAAGACGGAUGUCCGAUGGGCAGACACAUGGGGCAGUUACAGCAGACAAUUUACCUGCUAGAGGGCAAGUCCCUCCCCUGGUUCCUCAUUGGCUGAGCACUUCAGAGAUGUUCUUCCCUAAUGAUGCGGAAUCUACACUUUCCUCCACAAGACUGUCUUGAUGUGAUCACCAACACUAGCGUCUGUGUGAUACAAGGAAAACGGCUCUUAUCUGGUCAAGUUAAUUUCCAUCUUUUCCUGUUCCAUCAAUCUGAAACUUUUGGAAAGGAUAUACUAAUCGCAUCUGUUUGGGUAUUCACUAUUAACUUAUUUUAAUUAAAUUUAUGUACACACUAUUAAACGAUUCAUUCCAUUCAAAUCUAUUUCCUCUCCUGUAUCUAUUAUUAUUGUAGAGCCCCUCAUAAAACUGUAUGGUGUGCUACAGCCCAUUUCAAUUGGCCAUUCUGAGUCCAAAGACUGUCAUCUGAUUGCCUCAAAAGUUUAGUCACCGGUCCCUUUCAGAAGUGAAAAUCACUAUUUCGUUACUGAGUCAGGUAGGUAAGUGACCUCCCUGAA